GGCGGGAACAGCUGAGGGCAGAGGACCCUGGACCUCGCUCCUCUGCAGGGGCAGGCUCUGUUGCCCUGGGGAGGGCCCCAGCAUGGUCACCGCCUGCCCCGUCCGUCCUCAAGCACCGGGGGAGCUUGGGACUCAAGCCAGAGGCCAAUAUCUGGCCACAGCCACAGGGGGACCCUUUAAAAGCACAGCUUCCAAAACUUCUGAUUCUUUGCAAAGUUUUUCAGAAACUUUUGGAGGUCUAAAAACUUGUGUUUUUGCUCAUCCGCACAAGCACCAUGAACCACUUUCUGCCUCGUGACCUGCAGGUUUCCACCCAACUCUGAGGACAAGUCUAUCCUCCGUUGUAAAGUCAAGAGAUUGAGUAAGAGUGGGCUGUUCAAGGUCAGCUUGUGGGCCUGGGCCAGUGGGACGCAGGAUUUAGGGGCAGAGGGCGGCAGGCCUCAGGCCACAGUGCAUGUUUGUGACCUACUCCCCUGUUUGCUGCCCUGGGAGAGUGGCCUUGGUUUCUCUCCCUGAGGUUUAUUUUUUGCUCCCUCUGCUUUGGUCCAAGCCCCAGGACAUGAAAAGGGAGAACAACCCUGCCUGAACUCUACCUCCCUAAAGGUGAGGGGCUGGGGUAUUCACAGGGUAAGGACGCAGCGUGGUCUGAGGUGUGGGGAGAAGGGAAAGGUGAUGGGAAAUAAAAGGUGAGUUUCACUGUUGUUCUGAGCAGGCCUUGACUAAGCUGUGGGUUUUCCACAGGACACUUGUUCAGUAGAUGGAGCAGUUAGCAGCUUCUGAAGGUAGCCUUUUGGUCCCCGAUGUCUCAAAGGUCACUAGGCGGACACUCGUGCGUGCCCAGUGGGAGGCUUGGUGGUCCCAACCAGCCUGAACCAGACACAACUAACUCCAAAUUCUUAGAAAACAACUUGGGCAAACAUCUUAUUGUUUGUGCUCAGUGACGUGUGGAGGACACGCAAGCCUUUUGUGACGGCAGUGAAAGCAAGCUUGAUAAAAUGAGGACAGGUACAGGUGUAAUGGAUUUAACAAUUUCCUUUGGUUUCAAAACCUUAGUAAACAUGAGUGCAUGUAUGCUAAUUCUCUUCAGUUGUGUCUGACUGCGAGUCCAUGGACUGUAGCCCACCAGGCUCCACUGUCCAUGGGAUUCUGCAGGCAAGAACACUGGAGUGGGUUGCCAUGCCCUCUUCCAGGGGAGCUUCCCAACUCAGGGAGUGAACCCACACCUCUUACAUCUCCAGCACUGGCAGGCAGGUUCUUUACCACCAGUGCCACCUGUGAAGCCCUAAUUUCAGUUUCUCCAGGAGCAAAGUAGCUAGUAGCUAGUUCUGGCCCAGUGUCUUUGAUGAGGUUGCCAGUGGCUGGGACGUCCUUGGUGGUCCAGUGGCUAAGACUCCACGCUCCCAAUGCAAGAGGGCCUGGGUUCAAUCCCCAGUCAGGGAACUAGAUCCCACAUGCCAAGACCCAGGGCAGCAAAAUAAAUAAAAAUUUAAAAAGAAGAUGGUGGCUGAGGUUACAGCAUCUGAAGGCUUGGCUUGGGACUCAAGGUUUCCUCCCCUGCUCAGGGGCCCCCUCACGCUCUGGGCAAGCUGGUGCUGACUGUGGGCGCGAGGACUCAGUUCCUCUGCCUGGGGGCCUGUCCACACACCAGCGUGAGUGUCCUUACAGCCUGAUGUCUGGCUCCCUCCAGGACCGAGCACAGCAGAGGGGCUUCAGAGUCACGAGCUUUCAGCUCCAUCUUAUUCUGUUGGUCAUGCAGGCCAGCGCUGAGGCACUCCAGGAGGGGGCGGGAGAAGGUCUGAACUCCAGGAUGGCGGCUCAUGGCAGGCCUGGCUGCCAUAGGGCCCUUACAGCACUGAGGGUCUGCAUGGACCAGCUUCCAUCUGGUACCUUGACUCUCGCUAAGGCUGAGCCAAGAUAUUGUGGCUUUUCUGGUUCAUUCAGCAGAUACGUCUGAGCACUUUUUCUGUGUCAGGAGAACUGGUGAAAGCUGGAGUCAGCUGUGUCUAGUUCAGCUGCGCAAGAGUCAGCGGUGUCCAGUUUGAGCUGAGCUGGUUGAGACUGGCUGGGACCACUGACCUUUCAACUGAGUGUGCGAACAUGCAAAGGCCUGUUGCUGAGCUAUGCCUGCACAAAGCGACGACCGGGACACCCUUUUCUAUCACCUUUCCCCACGGUCCCGUGUCUCAGACGACCUGCUUCUUCAGUCUUCAUCCCAUAAACACAUAAGCCCCUUGCCUGAGGGGAACCGGAUUUGGGGUUUGUUUUCCCAUCUCCUUGCUUGGUGGCCCUGCUGAUGGAUCCUCUCUUUGCUGCAGACCUUGGUGUCUCAGUGUUUUGGGUUGCGGUGCACCCAGGUGGGUGAGAAGCUGAGAGCUGAGCAUCACACCUGGAGAUGGAGCCUGGCGGGAAGACGAGCUCAUGUUGGCAAAGCUGCAUGCUGGCAGAUAACAGCCUCUUUUCCAGCCCUGGGGCAGUUUCCAGCUUCUCCAGUCACGUUCAACCCACAGCUGUAGCCGGAGAAGCCAGAGGGGAGAGAGCUACUCCAACCAUGGGAGGAAGCCUGCUGCUUCCGGAUCCCAUCAUAGAGCCCCGCUGGGGAGGGGCCAGAGUGGGAGCCCCCCACGGUCCUCCAUCCUCGAGCGCAGAGGAGAUGGGAGAGAGGCAGCGGUCUCUGCCUGGGGCUGGUCCACCCUAGCUCAGCUGAAACACAGGCUUCUCCAGCCCCGAGUCCAUGGGGUUGGACAGAAGGCAGUUUGGGGCCCCUCCCACCCAGACUGUGGGGCAGGCCCAGGACGCAUGCCUGUCGUAGAUGCUGGCCCUUCAGGAGUGGCUGCCCUGGGUAGGUUGGGGCUGGGAUGAAAGCCUGAGGCCUGGUCUCUGGGUCACUGUGUUGGGUAACUGCUGGCCAUGUUUGUAGAGCAUGCACACUCUUGUGUUCUGAUCUCUGCAGACCGUCCUUGAAGGAUGUGUGCUCCUGGGUCUGGGUAAUGUUUUUCCUUUCUCUUAAAAGAUAGACUUCUAAGAGCAGCUUUAGGUUCACAGCUAAACUAGGUGGAAAGUGUGACAUUUCAAUAUUCCUCCUCCCUCACACCCGUGGCUUCCCCGUCAUCAUCUCCACCGGUUGGUACUUGUGUUACAACUGAUGACCCCACAUGGACAUGUCAUUAUGACCCAGAGUCCACAGUUGACAUCAGGGGUCACUGUAGGUGGUGUGUGUCCUGUGGGUUUGGCCAAACAAAUAAUGACACGUAUAUUAUACAUCAAUACAGUAUCAUACAGAGAAGUUUCACUGCCCUAAAAACUCUCUGUUCUCCACCUGUUCAUCCCUCCCUCGCCACAAUCCCUCAAAAUCAGACCUUUUUAUCCUUGGCAUAUCUUGCCUUUUCCGUGACAUCAAACUAGUUGCAAUCAUAUAGCGUGUAGCCUUUGUUUCCUCCAUGUCUUCAUGACUUGACAGCUCGCUUAUUUUAGCAUGUAAUAAUAUUCCCAUCUGGAUGCCCUGUAGUUCAUUUAUCCAUCACCUACUGAAGGACACUUUGGUUGUUUUCAAGCUUUGGCAAUUAUGAAUAAAGUCACUGUGAAAAAGCACCCAUGUGCAAGUUUUUGUAUGGACAUGAGCGUCUUAAGAGGCAGGGAGGUGGUUUACUAUCUGGUCCUUGCUGGAAGCUUCCCUUGUAGCUCAGUUGGUAAAGAAUCUGCCUGCCAAUGCAGGAGACCAGUGUUUGAUCCCUGGGUUGGGAAGAUUCCCUGGAGAAGGAAAUGGCAACCCACUCCCGUAUUCUUGCCUGGAGAAUCCCAUGGACAGAGAAGCCUGGCAGGCUACAUUCCAUGGAGUCACAACAGUCGGACAUGGCUUAGUGACUAAACCACCUUGCUGGAAGGUCUCAGGGUCGGGCUGCGUGGAGAAGCUUCCCUGGGGGACCUGGAAACACCUGGUUUCUCACUGGCUUAGCUCCAGGGGGAACCCAUGUCCGUGUGUCUGGGAAAGAGGGCAGGCGAAGGAAGCCACUGAUGGAGAGGGAAAGGAAAGGCAAACGGGAAGAAAAAGAGAGGAAAAGGCUGUGUGGAUUAAACCAGAAUCCAGAUUUUUCUGAUCCUGUUGCCAAACGGUAACAUAGGACACGGAUGUCGAGUCGUUGAGGCAGGUUUGUGUGUCUCUGAGAGGGUAGAGAGUAGACCAUCCGUAUUUGAUGAACAUUCUGCCUUUAUUAUGAAAAGUGAAGCCUGGGGGUUCAGAGGGGGUUAAGAGAUUAAGGACUUGGAUACAAUCCUGGAAUUUCAUUCUUUAUAACUUUUGCACUUUUAAUGAAAAAUUUCAAACAUCUCUUCAAAGAGAUAUGCAGAGUAUAA
ensembl:lncRNA